rnacentral:rRNA from 1 species
GAUGAACGCUGGCGGCGUGCUUAAUACAUGCAAGUCGAGCGGUAACACUUCGGGUGACGAGCGGCGGACGGCAGAGUAACGCGUAGGAACCUACCCCGAACUGAGGGAUAAGCACCAGAAAUGGUGUCUAAUACCGCAUGUGCGCUUCGGCGUAAAGCUUCGGCGGUUUGGGAAGGGCCUGCGUAUGAUUAGCUUGUUGGUAAGGUAACGGCUUACCAAGGCGACGAUCAUUAGCUGGUCUGAGAGGAUGAUCAGCCUGACUGGGACUGAGACACGGCCCAGACUCCUACGGGAGGCAGCAGUGGGGAAUUUUCCACAAUGGACGAAAGACUGAUGGAGCGACGCCGCGUGCAGGAUGAAGGCUUUCGGGUCGUAAACUGCUUUUCUCUGUGACGAUUAUGACGGUAGCAGAGGAAUAAGGGCCGGCUAACUACGUGCCAGCAGCCGCCGUAA